rnacentral:rRNA from 1 species
ACGAACGCUGGCGGCGUGCUUAACACAUGCAAGUCGCACGGAAAGACCCUGCUUUUGUGGGGUGCUCGAGUGGCGAACGGGUGAGCAACACGUGAGUAACCUGCCCUUGACUUUGGGAUAACUUCAGGAAACUGGGGCUAAUACCGGAUAGGAGCUCCUGCUGCAUGGUGGGGGUUGGAAAGUUUCGGCGGUUGGGGAUGGACUCGCGGCUUAUCAGCUUGUUGGUGGGGUAGUGGCUUACCAAGGCUUUGACGGGUAGCCGGCCUGGGAGGGUGACCGGCCACAUUGGGACUGAGAUACGGCCCAGACUCCUACGGGAGGCAGCAGUGGGGAAUAUUGCACAAUGGGCGGAAGCCUGAUGCAGCAACGCCGCGGGCGGGAUGACGGCCUUCGGGUUGUAAACCGCUUUCGCCUGUGACGAAGCGUGAGUGACGGUAAUGGGUAAAGAAGCACCGGCUAACUACGU